AUUGGGUUGAAUUGGUUAGUUUUUGGUUAGAGUUGGGUUAAGAUUCAGAGUUUGAUUAAGAUUUGUUUAGGAUUUAGGUUUGAAUUAGGAUUUGGGAUUUGGUUUACAAUUUUCUUAGGAUUUUUUUAGGAUUUAGAGUUUACAAUUUUCUUAGGAUUUAAAAUUGCUUAGGAUUUAGGAUUUGAUUAGGAUUUAGGAUUUGAUCUAAGAUUUGAUUGAAGUCCAUUAGGAUUUCAAUUAGAAUUAAAUUAGGAAUUUAUAAAAAUUUAUUUAAGAUAUAUUUUUUAUUAUUCUAAUAUUUCUUUAGGACUCCUUAGGAAUUCUUUUGAGGUUUAUUGUGGAUUUUUUUUAAUUCUUUUAAGAUUUCUUAUUAUUUCUUUUAUAAUUUUUUUA
rnacentral:lncRNA from 1 species